AUUGAACGCUGGCGGCAUGCUUUACACAUGCAAGUCGAACGGUAACAGGCCUUCGGGUGCUGACGAGUGGCGCACGGGUGCGUAAUGCAUCGGAACGUACCCAGAGGUGGGGGAUAACGCAGCGAAAGCUGUGCUAAUACCGCAUGUGAUCUGAGGAUGAAAGCGGGGGACCGAGCAGCAAUGUUUGGCCUCGCGCCUUUGGAGCGGCCGAUGUCGGAUUAGCUAGUUGGUGGGGUAAAGGCCUACCAAGGCGACGAUCCGUAGCUGGUCUGAGAGGACGACCAGCCACACUGGGACUGAGACACGGCCCAGACCCCUACGGGAGGCAGCAGUGGGGAAUUUUGGACAAUGGGCGCAAGCCUGAUCCAGCAAUGCCGCGUGCGGGAAGAAGGCCUUCGGGUUGUAAACCGCUUUUGGCAGGAACGAAACGGUGUCCGCUAAUACCGGGCGCUAAUGACGGUACCUGCAGAAUAAGCACCGGCUAACUACGUG
rnacentral:rRNA from 1 species